rnacentral:rRNA from 1 species
CGUGCAGGCGGUUUGGUAAGUUGGAUGUUAAAGCUCCCGGCUCAACUGGGAGAGGCCGUUCAAUACUGCCAGGCUAGAGGACGGUAGAGGGAGGUGGAAUUCCCGGUGUAGUGGUGAAAUGCGUAGAUAUCGGGAGGAACACCAGUGGCGAAAGCGGCCUCCUGGGCCGAUCCUGACGCUAAGACGCGAAAGCAUGGGUAGCAAACG